AUUGAACGCUGGCGGCAGGCCUAACACAUGCAAGUCGAACGGUAACAGGAAACAGCUUGCUGUUUCGCUGACGAGUGGCGGACGGGUGAGUAAUGUCUGGGAAACUGCCUGAUGGAGGGGGAUAACUACUGGAAACGGUAGCUAAUACCGCAUAACGUCGCAAGACCAAAGAGGGGGACCUUCGGGCCUCUUGCCAUCGGAUGUGCCCAGAUGGGAUUAGCUAGUAGGUGGGGUAACGGCUCACCUAGGCGACGAUCCCUAGCUGGGCUGAGAGGAUGACCAGCCAAACUGGAACUGAGACACGGUCCAGACUCCUACGGGAGGCAGCAGUGGGGAAUAUUGCACAAUGGGCGCAAGCCUGAUGCAGCCAUGCCGCGUGUAUGAAGAAGGCCUUCGGGUUGUAAAGUACUUUCAGCGGGGAGGAAGGGAGUAAAGUUAAUACCUUUGCUCAUUGACGUUACCCGCAGAAGAAGCACCGGCUAACUCCGUGCCAGCCGCCGCCGUAA
rnacentral:rRNA from 1 species